rnacentral:rRNA from 1 species
AAAUUGAAGAGUUUGAUCAUGGCUCAGAUUGAACGCUGGCGGCAGGCCUAACACAUGCAAGUCGAGCGGUAGCACAGAGAGCUUGCUCUCGGGUGACGAGCGGCGGACGGGUGAGUAAUGUCUGGGAAACUGCCUGAUGGAGGGGGAUAACUACUGGAAACGGUAGCUAAUACCGCAUAAUGUCGCAAGACCAAAGUGGGGGACCUUCGGGCCUCAUGCCAUCAGAUGUGCCCAGAUGGGAUUAGCUAGUAGGUGGGGUAACGGCUCACCUAGGCGACGAUCCCUAGCUGGUCUGAGAGGAUGACCAGCCACACUGGAACUGAGACACGGUCCAGACUCCUACGGGAGGCAGCAGUGGGGAAUAUUGCACAAUGGGCGCAAGCCUGAUGCAGCCAUGCCGCGUGUGUGAAGAAGGCCUUCGGGUUGUAAAGCACUUUCAGCGGGGAGGAAGGCGGUGAGGUUAA